rnacentral:rRNA from 1 species
CCUACGGUGGGCAGCAGUGGGGAAUAUUGCACAAUGGGGGAAACCCUGAUGCAGCAACGCCGCGUGAAGGAAGACGGUUUUCGGAUUGUAAACUUCUGUUCUUAGGGAAGAAUAAUAUGGCUAGCUAAGAAGAAAGCCACGGCUAACUACGUGCCAGCAGCCGCGGUAAUACGUAGGUGGCAAGCGUUGUCCGGAAUUACUGGGUGUAAAGGGGGCGCAGGCGGGAAGCCAAGUCAGCUGUGAAAACUACGGGCUUAACCUGUAGACUGCAGUUGAAACUGUUUUUCUUGAGUGAAGUAGAGGUUGGCGGAAUUCCGGGUGUAGCGGUGAAAUGCGUAGAUAUUCGGAGGAACACCAGUGGCGAAGGCGGCCUGCUGGGCUUUAACUGACGCUGAGGCGCGAAAGUGUGGGGAGCAAACAGGAUUAGAUACCCGUGUAGUC